UGCUAAUACCGGAUAACAACACUAGACGCAUGUCUAGAGUUUAAAAGUAAUGGUUCUGCUAUCACUCUUGGAUGGACCUGCGGUGCAUUAGCUAGUUGGUAAGGUAACGGCUUACCAAGGCAAUGAUGCAUAGCCGAGUUGAGAGACUGAUCGGCCACAUUGGGACUGAGACACGGUCCAAACUCCUACGGGAGGCAGCAGCC
rnacentral:rRNA from 1 species